rnacentral:rRNA from 1 species
CCUACGUGGGGCUGCAGUGAGGAAUAUUGGUCAAUGGGCGGAAGCCUGAACCAGCCAAGUCGCGUGAGGGAUUAAGGCCCUGCGGGUCGUAAACCUCUUUUGCCGGGGAGCAGAGGUCCGGACGUGUCCGGGCCGGGAGAGUACCCGGAGAAAAAGCAUCGGGUAACUCCGUGCCAGCCGCCGCGGUAAUCCGGAGGAUGCGAGCGUUCUCCGGAUUUAUUGGGUUUAAGGGGUGCGUAGGCGGGCAUUUAAGCCGGCGGUCAAAUGUCGGGGCUCACCCCCGGCCUGCCGUCGUAACUGGGUGCCUUGAGUGGGCGAGAAGUAUGCGGAAUGCGUGGUGUAGCGGUGAAAUGCAUAGAUAUCACGCAGAACCCCGAUUGCGAAGGCAGCAUACCGGCGCCCUACUGACGCUGAGGCACGAAAGUGCGGGUAUCGAACAGGAUUAGAUACCCGGGUAGUC